rnacentral:sRNA from 1 species
UUUUUUUUUUUUUAACAAUUUUAAACUGAUUUUCCCCAUAUAGUUCUGAAUUUUAGAAUUUUCCUAUAAUAUCUAAUUUAUGUAAAGAAAUCUAAUUCAUUGUACAAGAAAGUAUAAGGAUAUUUUUUGUUAAAAUAUUUGAAGAAUGAGGCUUCAUAUGUGAGGCACUAAGUUGUGUUUGUAGGCUCUGUUGCUUAAAUCUUUACUAAGGGAAAAUUUCUAAUAUUACAGAGAUAAAAUAUCUUUCUUUUCUUUUUAAGUGUCUGUGUUAUGUUUGGAUAAUUCUGAGUCUGAAUAAUUUGAAUCUUGGCAGGUUGUCAAUAGGGUGACUGGAAAUUUCAAGCAUGCAUCUCCUAUUCUGCCAAUCACUGAAUUCUCAGACAUACCCAGAAGAGCACCAAAGAAACCAUUGACAAGAGCUGAAGUGGGAGAAAAAACAGAGGAAAGAAGAGUAGAAAGGGAUAUUCUUAAGGAAAUGUUCCCCUAUGAAGCAUCUACACCAACAGGAAUUAGUGCUAGUUGCCGCAGACCAAUCAAAGGGGCUGCAGGCCGGCCAUUAGAACUCAGUGAUUUCAGGAUGGAGGAGUCUUUUUCAUCUAAAUAUGUUCCUAAGUAUGUUCCCUUCGCAGAUGUCAAGUCAGAAAAGACAAAAAAGGGACGCUCCAUUCCCGUAUGGAUAAAAAUUUUGCUGUUCGUUGUUGUGGCAGUUUUUUUGUUUUUGGUCUAUC